CGAUCAUGAUCGGCUGGGAAGCAAUGGGUGUGAUUCCACCUGGGGAGCGGCUUACGCAGUAUCAGCUAGUUGGUGAGGUAACGGCUCACCAAGGCUUUGACGCUUAGGGGGUGUGAGAGCAUGGCCCCCACCACUGGCACUGAGACACUGGCCAGACACCUACGGGUGGCUGCAGUCGAGAAUCUUCGGCAAUGGACGAAAGUCUGACCGAGCGACGCCGCGUGCGGGAUGAAGGUCUUCGGAUUGUAGACCGCUGUCAGAGGGGAUGAAGUAUACGAGAGCUAUCUCUUGUAUUUGACAGAGCCUCAGAGGAAGCACGGGCUAAGUUCGUGCCAGCAGCCGCGGUAUACGAACUGUGCGAACGUUAUUCGGAAUCACUGGGCUUAAAGGGUGCGUAGGCGGUUUUCUAAGUCACGUGUGAAAGCUUUCGGCUCAACCGGAAAGCUGCGCGUGAUACUGAAGAACUCGAGUGAGGUAGGGGUGUGUGGAACUUCCGGUGGAGCGGUGAAAUGUGUAGAGAUCGGAAGGAACGCCAGCAGCGAAAGCGGCACACUGGGCCUUUUCUGACGCUGAGGCACGAAAGCUAGGGGAGUGAACGGGAUUAGAUACCCCGGUAAUCCUAGCCGUAAACACUGAACACUGGAGGACGGGGGUUUCGGCCUUCGUUCUCGUAGCGAAAGCGUUAAGUGUUCCGCCUGGGGAGUAUGGUCGCAAGGCUGAAACUCAAAGGAAUUGACGGGGGCUCACACAAGCGGUGGAGCAUGUGGCUUAAUUCGAGCCAACGCGAAGAACCUUAUCCUGGGUUUGACAUGCAUGGAUUAACCCUGUGAAAGCAGGGCCACGCUCGCAAGAGUGGAACAUGCACAGGUGCUGCAUGGCUGUCGUCAGCUCGUGUCGUGAGAUGUCGCGUUAAGUCGCUAAACGAGCGAAACCCUUAUCCUUAGUUGCCAGCGAGUCACGUCGGGGACUCUAAGGAGACUGCCGGUGUCAAACCGGAGGAAGGCGGGGAUGACGUCAAGUCCUCAUGGCCUUUAUGCCCAGGGCUGCACACGUGCUACAAUGGGGCGUACAAAGCGCUGCAAGCCUGCGAAGGCAAGCGAAUCGCAAAAGGCGUCCCCCAGUUCGGAUUGCAGGCUGCAACUCGCCUGCAUGAAGCCGGAAUCGCUAGUAAUCGCAGAUCAGCAUUGCUGCGGUGAAUGUGUUCCUGAGCC
rnacentral:rRNA from 1 species